UUCCACAGCUUUCUUGAACUUUCCUAUCUAUACUCGAUUAGCCCUUUUUCCACCCUCAAUUGCGGCUUAUUAAUAUAUAUAAAUGGAGCAUUUCCAUGGGAGAGCUCAAGAAAGCUGUGGGA
rnacentral:pre_miRNA from 1 species